rnacentral:lncRNA from 13 species
AUGCCCAAGUUUCAGGAUCUUCAGUUUUUCAUUGCUGAUGAGAACAUCAGUAAUGUCCUUACAGUAAUCGGAAGUAAGGAAACAAGCCAUCAACCACAGCUCCUGUAUGCUAUGGUCCGGAUGCUUCAGCGCUUCACACAGCAACACCACUGCCCUGUCUUCCAGAUGAUUGGACCCCAGAUUGAGGAGGGACAGGGAAUUACUGCACUCAAGUCCUUGGGAAAUGGCCUCAAAGGAGACACAGGGAUUUUCUACCAAGGAGAGAAGUUUCAGCUUGUUGUUGCAGGCCAGAACAGAGGCAAUGUCUUCACAAGCUUCAUGGGAGAGGUCACACUUCCCCAGUAUCAGCUCUUCUGUCUUGCACAUUGGGUGUUUCAGCGUCUCACACAGGUACUUCACUUCGGUAUGGCGGAGGCUAGUGCCACACAGGCUCAGAAUUUUCAGAUGAGGGUUGUGAAGAACAGCCCUAAAUAAUGUCCCAAGUUAGACAUAAAAGUAUGCAUGAGUUUUUGGAGUUUACAAACAGGCUGAGCCAGCGCUUUGCAAAGAAUGGCCAGGAAGGCGUCAUCAAAGCUGGUGUUCUCCAUGUCUAACAUCUGGAAAUUCUUGUUCUUACUGAACAUUGAGCAAAGCUCCCGUCAAUACAUGAGCUUCUCAUUGUGUUCUGAAACAUAUCCUGAGUCAUUGGGAAAAGUACUCUCCAUACACAGGCGAAGUGUAGUUAGAUUGUGACAAUGCUUCACGCAGAAUGAAGCUAUUACCAAGUGUUCUAUGUUAGCAAUAUAAAUGUAAACUGCUUCAAAGAAAUUCAUCACUUGUGUUACAAAUUCUUUUUCCUGAGUUUCAAAUAAAGAACUGAAUAAUUCCUGGAAACCUACCA